CCGGAAGUUGCCGUACCCCCGAGGCCUGGGCAGGUUGGCAGGGAGGAGGCCUACUCCUCGUAUCUUGCCAAGGCGUCAGCCAUGCCCUCCUCGUCCUCGCACAUCGGGGUUGCUGGUGCUUCUGCGUUAGCCUGCCAUCUCGGCGUUGGUCGAGGCCAGCGUGGGGAGGAGUGGCGGCUUCUUUUUUUUGCGAUCAUUUUUUUUUUUGCGAUCAGGAGGAGCGGCGGCUUCGGCGGUCGAGGCCAGCGAGGGGAGGAGCUGUGGCUGUGACGUUGGACAUGACCAGCGAGGGGAUGAGCGGUGGCGAAGAUUUUUGGGUUUCGGCUACCAUAUCCUGAUGGUGAUGAUGGGUCGAAUGAUGAAGCCCCUUUUGGUGCCUCCCUCGAUGUUGGUCAGAGUGGAAAGGACGAAGAUAGAUCAUCGCUAUGAACGAAUAUUAUGUGUGCUUUUCAUUUAAAAUGAUGAAGCUCCUUUUGGGUUGAAUUAUAGUGUGCUUACCAUGAACGAAUACCGGUUGUCGUUGAUGAUUAUGUGUUUUUUAAAUUAUGAUAUUUCGGUUCUAGAUUAUAAAUGAAUUAUUUUUGUAAUGUCCGAAAGUCUUUUUGGCUUUCGGUUAGGUGCCACUUUGGCCGUUAGAAGAGCAAAUUUGGUCCUCUAAAGGUUUUUUUGCCUUUGGGUUACAGAUGCUCUUAUGUGAAGAAAAGACUCGAAUAGUCAAUUUAUUUUGCAUGAAA